AUCAGCUGUAAACACGGAACAGACGUUGAGUUUACGCGCGCAUUUUUUUUUUACAAAUAUUAACGGUGGGUUGUUUCCAACUUCAUCGUUUCCGUGAACAAGAAACUAUCAACUUUUUAGUGCACCUAUUAAACUCUCAAUCACAAUGUCCAGAAACACUCGCCGUAGUACCCGUGGAGACCGAACCAGUGAGUUGAUAGAAAAUGUUGAACUGGAAGUCAAGGAGAGUGCGACACCGCGACGCCGAGGGCGCCCCAGACUUCAUGAUCCUAUCACGGAGGAGGAAGACGAUUGUUCACCCAGAAAACGGAACAAAGCUGCCCAUGUAGCUAAGCGUGAGUCAGAUAAUGAAGCGAUCAGUGUAAAAGCUGUGGGAUGCUUACCGGAGCGCGAACGAGAAACUGAAGAACUGGCCACAUACAUUGAGGAUGUACUAGCAGAAAACGGGUCGGGUAGUUUAUACAUAAGUGGUCCUCCCGGCACAGGUAAGACGGCUACACUCACGAAAAUAAUUACCGAUCGCGAUUUGGCCAACAAAAUCAAGAUGGUUUAUGUUAAUUGUACUUCGAUGAGCAGUGCUGGUAGCAUCUACAAAAAAAUAUGCGAGGAACUGCAAUUACAAGCUGCAGGUGGAACAGAGAAAUAUUUUCUCAGUGCUAUCGAAGAAUAUUUGAAAAGAAAACAUAAAACCAUAAUGCUUGUGCUAGAUGAAAUCGAUCAGUUAGCCACUAGCAAACAAACCAUAUUAUACAACAUCUUUGAAUGGCCCGCAAAACGAAAUUCAAAGCUAAUACUGGUAGGUGUAGCCAACGCUCUCGAUCUAACUGACCGGCUGUUGUCCCGCCUUCAAGCCCGAUGCGAGCUGAGACCUCAUCUAAUUCAGUUUCUACCAUACACGAAACCUCAGCUAGUAAACAUUCUUAAAACCAGCCUUCGCAACAGCAAAGCCAGCGAACUAUUCAAUGAUGCGGCACUGCAGCUGCUUGCGGCCAAAGUUGCUUCAACGUCCGGAGAUGCUCGUCGUGCUUUACUACUGGCAAAAAGCUUGGUAGAUUCAACCGAUAAAGAGCACCGUCAGAUGAAAAGAACAUCUGCCAAAACUGAUCCCGCAAAUAUCACAACUAAACCCGCAUCACCCCCAAAAGUGGUUCAAAUUAGACAAGUGGUCAAUACCCUCAAUCAAGUAUACGGUUCUACGCAGAACAUGGAUGAAGAUUCUGCUUUCCCUUUGCAGCAAAAGAUACUCAUUUGCUCACUGCUUCUAAUUCUUAAAAAUGGUAAAAGCAAAGAUGUGACUGUCGGUAGGCUGCACCAGGUGUACAAGACUGUUUGUGCCAAGCAGAACCUGCUUUCCGUCGAUCAAACUGAGUUCUUGAAUCUUUGCUCGCUCGUGGAAACGCGUGGGGUUCUGCGAAUGCAGGGCAAAAAAGAAGCUCGCUUGAACCGGGUCCUGCUGCAGUGGGACGAGGACGAAGUCCGCAAUGUACUGAAUGACAAGCAACUGAUCGCGAGCAUCCUAAGUGACACAAGCUGCGUAGGAAAAUGAUGUUAGAAAUGAAAACUGCUUUUUUAACUCUAUUUGUAAUUAGAAUAGUUCGAUUUUAUAGCCUUCAAGAAACAAGAUGACUGAUAAUCAGGUUGAUUGAGAGCAGAAUAAAUUAUACAUUUUAAGAAUAAC